rnacentral:rRNA from 1 species
AUUGAACGCUGGCGGAAUGCUUUACACAUGCAAGUCGAGCGGCAGCGCGGGGCAACCUGGCGGCGAGCGGCGAACGGGUGAGUAAUGCAUCGGAACAUGUCCAUUCGUGGGGGAUAGCCCGGCGAAAGCCGGAUUAAUACCGCAUACGCCCUGAGGGGGAAAGUGGGGGACCGCAAGGCCUCACGCGAUUGGGUUGGCCGAUGUCCGAUUAGCUAGUUGGCGGGGUAAAGGCCCACCAAGGCGAUGAUCGGUAGCUGGUCUGAGAGGAUGAUCAGCCACACUGGGACUGAGACACGGCCCAGACUCCUACGGGAGGCAGCAGUGGGGAAUUUUGGACAAUGGGGGAAACCCUGAUCCAGCCAUUCCGCGUGAGUGAAGAAGGCCUCGGUGUAAG